rnacentral:rRNA from 1 species
GACGAACCGUGCGAACGUUAUUCGGAAUCACUGGGCUUAAAGCGCGUGUAGGCGGCGCGGCACGUCGGUCGCUGAAAGCCCCCGGCUCAACCGGGGAACGGGCGCCGAUACGACCGCCCUCGAGGGACGUAGGGGGACCUGGAACUUCCGGUGGAGCGGUGAAAUGCGUUGAGAUCGGAAGGAACGCCCGUGGCGAAAGCGAGGUCCUGGACGUCUGCUGACGCUGAGACGCGAAAGCCAGGGGAGCGAACGGG